rnacentral:rRNA from 1 species
UACGGGGGGGGCAAGCGUUGUUCGGAAUUACUGGGCGUAAAGGGCUCGUAGGCGGCUUACUAAGUCGGACGUGAAAUCCCCAGGCUCAACCUGGGAACUGCGUCCGAUACUGGAUGGCUUGAAUUCGGGAGAGGGAUGCAGAAUUCCAGGUGUAGCGGUGAAAUGCGUAGAUAUCUGGAGGAAUACCGGUGGCGAAGGCGGCAUCCUGGACCGACAUUGACGCUGAGGAGCGAAAGCUAGGGGAGCAAACGGG